GUGGGGAAUAUUGGACAAUGGGGGGAACCCUGAUCCAGCCAUGCCGCGUGUGUGAAGAAGGCCUUUUGGUUGUAAAGCACUUUAAGCGAGGAGGAGGCUACCGAGAUUAAUACUCUUGGAUAGUGGACGUUACUCGCAGAAUAAGCAUCGGCUAACUCUGUGCCAGCAGCCGCGGUAAUACAGAGGGUGCAAGCGUUAAUCGGAUUUACUGGGCGUAAAGCGCGCGUAGGUGGCCAAUUAAGUCAAAUGUGAAAUCCCCGAGCUUAACUUGGGAAUUGCAUUCGAUACUGGUUGGCUAGAGUAUGGGAGAGGAUGGUAGAAUUCCAGGUGUAGCGGUGAAAUGCGUAGAGAUCUGGAGGAAUACCGAUGGCGAAGGCAGCCAUCUGGCCUAAUACUGACACUGAGGUGCGAAAGCAUGGGGAGCAAACAGGAUUAGAAACCCUAGUAGUCC
rnacentral:rRNA from 1 species